UGCCAGCCGCCGCGGUAAUACGAAGGGUGCGAGCGUUGUUCGGAUUUAUUGGGCGUAAAGCGCGCGCAGGCGGAUGAAUAAGUCAGAUGUGAAAUCUCGGGGCUCAACCCCGAAACUGCGUCUGAAACUGUUUAUCUAGAAUCUCGGAGAGGGAAGGGGAAUUUCGCAUGUAGGAGUAAAAUCCGUAGAGAUGCGAAGGAACACCAGAGGCGAAGGCGCCUUCCUGGACGAGUAUUGACGCUGAGGCGCGAAAGCGUGGGGAGCAAACAGGAUUAGAUA
rnacentral:rRNA from 1 species